GGCCCUAUAGCUCAAUGGAUAGAGUCCGGGACUUCUAAUCCCGUUAUGAUGGUUCGAUUCCAUCUAGGGUCA
rnacentral:tRNA from 1 species